GUGAGUUCAAAAACUGAAUUUAACCGAUGUUUACCUCAGACGACAGUUUUCGUUUCUGUGAUAAAUUCUGAGCUAAUUUUCUUGUUGUGUUUGAUCUUUUCCAUUGGCUGAAGAAUGCUGUGACAAAAAAGCAACCAGGACC